UUAUAAUGGUGAUAUAGCAUGGCUCAUUUGAAAUCCAUUUACCUGGUGUUUAUCUGUGUUUAUAAUGGUGAUAUAGCAUGGCUCAUUUGAAAUCCAUCUACCUCAUGUUUAUCUGUGUUUAUAAUGGUGAUAUAGCAUGGCUCAUUUGAAAUCCAUUUACCUGGUGUUUAUCUGUUAUAACACAGUGUAUAGUGAUAGCGUAGCAUGAUAACAGUAGUGGGGAUAUAACAUGGUAUUUGAACAGGUUAUCGAUAGAACUGACUGUCCUCUCCUCCUCCUCCCGCCAGUCUCCGCUGGCCCAGAGUGGUCGUCUAUCAGAGUCUCUGAGGAAGUCUCAGCUGUGGUCAGGUGUCGUGGGGGUGACCCUGGUGGAGGGACAGGACCUGCCAGAGGACGGACCUGGAGAGCUGUUUGUUCGGUUCAGACUGGGGGAGCAGAGAUACAAGAGCAGGAACCAGCCCAAGAAGGCCAACCCCCAGUGGAGGGAGAGGUUUGACUUCAACCGGUUCCCGGAGGGUCCUGGGGUGCUGGAGAUAGAGGUCUGGAACAAAGAGGGACGCAAAUAUGAGGAGUGUUACGGCAUGUGUGAGGUGGACCUGUCCAGUGUUCUACCCAACCAGUCUCAGCUGUUCACGCGGUUUCUGAAAGAGGGAAAAGGUCGUGUGGUCUUCCUGAUCGCUCUGAGCACGUGCAGUGGCGUCUCCAUCUCCGACAUGUGUGCCCCGCCCCUCGAGGAGCCUCAGGAGAGAGAGAAAACUCUGGAG